rnacentral:rRNA from 1 species
UUUAACGGAUCUUCUUCGGAAGUGAAGAUAUUGUGACUGAGUGGCGGACGGGUGAGUAACGCGUGGGUAACCUGCCUCAUACAGGGGGAUAACAGUUGGAAACGGCUGCUAAUACCGCAUAAGCGCACAGUACCGCAUGGUACGGUGUGAAAAACUCCGGUGGUAUGGGAUGGACCCGCGUCUGAUUAGCUUGUUGGUGAGGUAACGGCCCACCAAGGCGACGAUCAGUAGCCGACCUGAGAGGGUGACCGGCCACAUUGGGACUGAGACACGGCCCAAACUCC